AGCAGCACAGCGUGCGCCCUUGCAUAGUAACAGGCUAUGUUCUGUGAUUUCGUCUUUCCACCAGAACAAAGCAUUUGUCUCAUCAUUCAUUGAUGUCAUUGUGAGAUACUGGUAAACCAUUUUAACCUUUGGACCUUGUUGCAACUAAAGGACCAGCUACUAGAGUCUUAGGCUGAAAAGACAGAUUUUCAAAGAGGCUGGAAAUAUCUGCUCAUGACUUCUGGCUUUCUUGGGAAGAACCAAAGAAUGAAUGAACUCUGGAAGACAUAGGGACAAUCUCUGUGACAGCCCUGUAUGGUGUUGAGUGACAGGGUUCAGCUUAGAAAGCUAAGCAUCCUGCUGCGUGGACACAAGGAGAUGCCUUCAUCAUUUACUGACAUGAAAUCACAGGGCUCUGUGAUGGUGUGCCUACUGGGAGCUGAGGCAAGCAUUGAAGGUGCUCUGUGGAGCUGCAGCUGGGCACCCAGAAGCUGCUCCAGUCUGUGGCUUGGAGAGCUGAGCUUGCAACACAUCCAGUGGUUUCUAAGUAUUGCAAUGGAAAUCAGCUACACUUGGGUGGUCAUCUACAACUCUCUAAUAUUAAGCCACAUCCAGGGAACCUUGCCCAGCUGUUUCCAAGUGAGCCCUUCAGCAAAGAUGGAAGGACUUUAUUAUUUGGCUUCCCAUUGGAGAACUCUGUGCCUAUAAUGAGCUAAAAAAACAAUAAAAGAAGUUUUUAUCAUCA
rnacentral:lncRNA from 1 species